rnacentral:rRNA from 1 species
GUGGGGAAUCUUCCGCAAUGGACGAAAGUCUGACGGAGCAACGCCGCGUGAGUGAUGAAGGUCUUCGGAUUGUAAAGCUCUGUUAAUCGGGACGAAAGAGCCUAGUGUGAAUAAUGCUAGGAAGUGACGGUACCGGAAUAGAAAGCCACGGCUAACUACGUGCCAGCAGCCGCGGUAAUACGUAGGUGGCAAGCGUUGUCCGGAAGUAUUGGGCGUAAAGCGCGCGCAGGCGGAUCUGCCAGUCUGUCUUAAAAGUUCGGGGCUUAACCCCGUGAUGGGAUGGAAACUACAGAUCUAGAGUAUCGGAGAGGAAAGUGGAAUUCCUAGUGUAGCGGUGAAAUGCGUAGAUAUUAGGAAGAACACCAGUGGCGAAGGCGACUUUCUGGACGAAAACUGACGCUGAGGCGCGAAAGCCAGGGGAGCGAACGGGAUUAGAUACCCGAGUAGUCC